GGAGGCUUAGCUCAGUUGGUAGAGCAGCUGACUCUUAAUCAGCGGGUCGGGGGUUCGAGCCCCCCAGCCUCUACCA
rnacentral:tRNA from 2 species